AUUUUAAGGUGUUUCACAUUAUGGCAGACAUUAUCAUGGAAGAAUAAAAGUGUCCAAGCUAAGAUCAAAACUGGCAAAGAUAUGAUCUUAAUUGUGAGUAAAUUAAUUUAAGAGGUAAAUCACAUAUGAUGUGAAAAAAGCCAUCAUGUGAAAAAACACAAGAUAAAGGAAUGAUGUAAAUUGGUAUGACAGAUUUAUAUCCUAUGCUCAAUUAUUCUACAACCAAAAUUCUUCAUGACAUUUCGAUAGGUUACUAAUUGGAUGAAAUAGGCAUAUCAUAGCAUUCAAUCCCCAAGCAACUAUCCACAGAAAAUAAAAGCACUACUGUAACCCACUUGACUUGUAGAAAGAAGACAGCAAUUUAUAUAUGACAAUUAAUGAUUAUCAUAAUAGUUCUGUGAAGAAUAAUUGGCAAAAAUAACAUAAAAGGAAUAUGGGGGUAUUUAUUGCCAUGUUUUGUUGCCAAAGCAGAUAUCACCAGUUAUAAAAGUAUAUGCUUCUUGCUUCACAUACUUUCUCUAAUAAAAACGGAUUUCGUAACAAUGUGUUC